GGGUUGUGAGGUUAAGCGACUAAGCGUACACGGUGGAUGCCCUGGCAGUCAGAGGCGAUGAAGGACGUGCUAAUCUGCGAAAAGCGUCGGUAAGGUGAUAUGAACCGUUAUAACCGGCGAUGUCCGAAUGGGGAAACCCAGUGCAAUUCGUUGCACUAUCGUUAACUGAAUACAUAGGUUAACGAGGCGAACCGGGGGAACUGAAACAUCUAAGUACCCCGAGGAAAAGAAAUCAACCGAGAUUCCCCCAGUAGCGGCGAGCGAACGGGGAGCAGCCCAGAGUCUGAAUCAGCUUGUGUGUUAGUGGAACGGUCUGGAAAGUCCGACGGUACAGGGUGAUAGUCCCGUACACCAAAAUGCACAGGCUGUGAACUCGAAGAGUAGGGCGGGACACGUGGUAUCCUGUCUGAAUAUGGGGGGACCAUCCUCCAAGGCUAAAUACUCCUGACUGACCGAUAGUGAACCAGUACCGUGAGGGAAAGGCGAAAAGAACCCCGGCGAGGGGAGUGAAAAAGAACCUGAAACCGUGUACGUACAAGCAGUGGGAGCACCUUCGGGUGUGACUGCGUACCUUUUGUAUAAUGGGUCAGCGACUUAUAUUCUGUAGCAAGGUUAACCGUAUAGGGGAGCCGCAGGGAAACCGAGUCUUAACUGGGCGUUAAGUUGCAGGGUAUAGACCCGAAACCCGGUGAUCUAGCCAUGGGCAGGUUGAAGGUUGGGUAACACUAACUGGAGGACCGAACCGACUAAUGUUGAAAAAUUAGCGGAUGACUUGUGGCUGGGGGUGAAAGGCCAAUCAAACCGGGAGAUAGCUGGUUCUCCCCGAAAGCUAUUUAGGUAGCGCCUCGUGAAUUCAUCUUCGGGGGUAGAGCACUGUUUCGGCUAGGGGGUCAUCCCGACUUACCAACCCGAUGCAAACUACGAAUACCGAAGAAUGUUAUCACGGGAGACACACGGCGGGUGCUAACGUCCGUCGUGAAGAGGGAAACAACCCAGACCGCCAGCUAAGGUCCCAAAGUCAUGGUUAAGUGGGAAACGAUGUGGGAAGGCACAGACAGCCAGGAUGUUGGCUUAGAAGCAGCCAUCAUUUAAAGAAAGCGUAAUAGCUCACUGGUCGAGUCGGCCUGCGCGGAAGAUGUAACGGGGCUAAACCAUGCACCGAAGCUGCGGCAGCGACACUAUGUGUUGUUGGGUAGGGGAGCGUUCUGUAAGCCUGCGAAGGUGACCUGUGAGGGUUGCUGGAGGUAUCAGAAGUGCGAAUGCUGACAUAAGUAACGAUAAAGCGGGUGAAAAGCCCGCUCGCCGGAAGACCAAGGGUUCCUGUCCAACGUUAAUCGGGGCAGGGUGAGUCGACCCCUAAGGCGAGGCCGAAAGGCGUAGUCGAUGGGAAACAGGUUAAUAUUCCUGUACUUGGUGUUACUGCGAAGGGGGGACGGAGAAGGCUAUGUUAGCCGGGCGACGGUUGUCCCGGUUUAAGCAUGUAGGCUGGUUGUCCAGGCAAAUCCGGAUAAUCAAGGCUGAGGUGUGAUGACGAGGCACUACGGUGCUGAAGUAACAAAUGCCCUGCUUCCAGGAAAAGCCUCUAAGCAUCAGGUAACAUUAAAUCGUACCCCAAACCGACACAGGUGGUCAGGUAGAGAAUACCAAGGCGCUUGAGAGAACUCGGGUGAAGGAACUAGGCAAAAUGGUGCCGUAACUUCGGGAGAAGGCACGCUGGUGUGUAGGUGAAGUCCCUGCGGAUGGAGCUGAGACCAGUCGAAGAUACCAGCUGGCUGCAACUGUUUAUUAAAAACACAGCACUGUGCAAACACGAAAGUGGACGUAUACGGUGUGACGCCUGCCCGGUGCCGGAAGGUUAAUUGAUGGGGUUAUCCGUAAGGAGAAGCUCUUGAUCGAAGCCCCGGUAAACGGCGGCCGUAACUAUAACGGUCCUAAGGUAGCGAAAUUCCUUGUCGGGUAAGUUCCGACCUGCACGAAUGGCGUAAUGAUGGCCAGGCUGUCUCCACCCGAGACUCAGUGAAAUUGAACUCGCUGUGAAGAUGCAGUGUACCCGCGGCAAGACGGAAAGACCCCGUGAACCUUUACUAUAGCUUGACACUGAACAUUGAGCCUUGAUGUGUAGGAUAGGUGGGAGGCUUUGAAGCGUGGACGCCAGUCUGCGUGGAGCCAACCUUGAAAUACCACCCUUUAAUGUUUGAUGUUCUAACGUUGGCCCCUUACCGGGGUUGCGGACAGUGUCUGGUGGGUAGUUUGACUGGGGCGGUCUCCUCCCAAAGCGUAACGGAGGAGCACGAAGGUUAGCUAAUCCUGGUCGGACAUCAGGAGGUUAGUGCAAUGGCAUAAGCUAGCUUGACUGCGAGCGUGACGGCGCGAGCAGGUGCGAAAGCAGGUCAUAGUGAUCCGGUGGUUCUGAAUGGAAGGGCCAUCGCUCAACGGAUAAAAGGUACUCCGGGGAUAACAGGCUGAUACCGCCCAAGAGUUCAUAUCGACGGCGGUGUUUGGCACCUCGAUGUCGGCUCAUCACAUCCUGGGGCUGAAGUAGGUCCCAAGGGUAUGGCUGUUCGCCAUUUAAAGUGGUACGCGAGCUGGGUUUAGAACGUCGUGAGACAGUUCGGUCCCUAUCUGCCGUGGGCGCUGGAGAAUUGAGGGGGGCUGCUCCUAGUACGAGAGGACCGGAGUGGACGCAUCACUGGUGUUCGGGUUGUCAUGCCAAUGGCACUGCCCGGUAGCUAAAUGCGGAAGAGAUAAGUGCUGAAAGCAUCUAAGCACGAAACUUGCCCCGAGAUGAGUUCUCCCUGAGACUUUAAGUCUCCUGAAGGAACGUUGAAGACGACGACGUUGAUAGGCCGGGUGUGUAAGCGCAGCGAUGCGUUGAGCUAACCGGUACUAAUGAACCGUGAGGCUUAACCUUACAACGCCGAAG
rnacentral:rRNA from 2 species